UUCUCUUGAGAGCGGCGGANGGGUGAGUAAUGCCUAGGAAUCUGCCUGGUAGUGGGGGAUAACGUCCGGAAACGGACGCUAAUACCGCAUACGUCCUACGGGAGAAAGCAGGGGACCUUCGGGCCUUGCGCUAUCAGAUGAGCCUAGGUCGGAUUAGCUAGUUGGUGAGGUAAUGGCUCACCAAGGCGACGAUCCGUAACUGGUCUGAGAGGAUGAUCAGUCACACUGGAACUGAGACACGGUCCAGACUCCUACGGGAGGCAGCAGUGGGGAAUAUUGGACAAUGGGCGAAAGCCUGAUCCAGCCAUGCCGCGUGUGUGAAGAAGGUCUUCGGAUUGUAAAGCACUUUAAGUUGGGAGGAAGGGUACUUACCUAAUACGUGAGUAUUUUGACGUUACCGACAGAAUAAGCACCGGCUAACUCUGUGCCAGCAGCCGCGGUAAUACAGAGGGUGCAAGCGUUAAUCGGAAUUACUGGGCGUAAAGCGCGCGUAGGUGGUUCGUUAAGUUGGAUGUGAAAUCCCCGGGCUCAACCUGGGAACUGCAUCCAAAACUGGCGAGCUAGAGUAUGGUAGAGGGUGGUGGAAUUUCCUGUGUAGCGGUGAAAUGCGUAGAUAUAGGAAGGAACACCAGUGGCGAAGGCGACCACCUGGACUGAUACUGACACUGNNUGCGAAAGCGUGGGGAGCAAACAGNAUUAGAUACCCUGGUAGUCCACGCCGUAAACGAUGUCAACUAGCCGUUGGGANCCUUGAGCUCNUNNNGGNGCAGCUACNCAUUA
rnacentral:rRNA from 1 species